CUCCACUUCUUCGAUGUUUCUCUUUAGAAACAGACUUCAAUAAUAAUUUUGUCUCUCUUGUGUAUCUCAGUUAUAGCUCACAUUGUGCUCUCAUAUAUGUCAGAUUUUUUAUGAAGUCCCUUCUUAAAAGAGCAUCACUAAUUAGCAACAAAACUGAUGGAUCUCUCCAACCAGGACUGGCUGAGCAGUGAAGUCAAGCAGCCUGUUGGAGACAGCAGCAUCCACUGAUGGAGAAGGUCACCUGAGGUUUGACCAAGUGUUUGACAGAUGCCCCUUGGUCUCUAAUCCGCCCCGGCUUAACUACCCUCAAACAGCAGCCAGAGAGAUCCGGAUUUCAUUUCCCCUGAGCCUGAUGUGAGCCUGAGAAGAGCAGUUCCAGAUCUGAUUGGAUGGUGCCAGAAUGUUCGGGAAAUAAGGAGUUAGAUGUAAACAUGAUUUAGACUCAAUGGCUGUGGGGGUUGAUUGAGAAAAUAACAGAGUGACUUUCCCAAGCAUCCAUCUGUGAAGUUUCAGCUCUCCUCCAGCUCCUGAGGUGAGAAAACCUUAACGCUUUUAUGACUUUAAAUCUGAGGAAUAAUGGAAAACAAACAACUGAUCAUUCGGCUCUGGAAUAUCAGAGUCUUUAGUUUACAAUCUCCAUUUGUAGAAGCAGAGGCUUUGAUUGAUUGCUGUUUACAUUCUGAGUUUCAGUCACAAGUUUAUGUCAUUCUGCUGUUAACCUCCAUCCUUUCCUCACACCUUUACAAACAGUACAGCAGUGAUACCAUGGUACAGGGAUGGGAUCAGAUAGCAGAACCAUGGGGCUUUGAUAUAGACACUAAUACUGAAUCUUCUCUUCGCUGUUUAUAGGCAUAAACAUAAAGUCAAACCUGGAAUUAACUGAUUUACAAGACUUCUCUCAGCAGGCAAGAAAGUACGAACAGAUAUAAUAAAGCUGAAAAUUUUUGAAAAGGUUUUACAUUUAUAAAAGCCAUUUACACCAGUAUUAAAAUAAUGUCCCACAUAUUAACUUUAUUCUGAAGGAAACUUGUGUGUUUUAAUAGACCAUGGUAUAUAUCGACAGGGCCUACCUGAUUCCACAAAUAAACCAUUCAACAGGAAUUUAACAAAAUCUCUCUUAAAUGCGUUCCCCAUCUCUCUGUCGGUGUGUUUUCACUUCUCGCCCUCACCGUCUCUGUAUAAUGUGCUCAUGGUGGCCCACUGCUGUGGCCAGUUGUGUGUUGUCACAGUAAAUUACUCUGACACACUGGAGGAGUGAUGGCUCUCAGUGGGUGGGAUGAAUGGAGAGGGUGUGUGUGUGUGUGUGUGUGAGAGAGAGAGUUGUGACAAUAUUGGGUUUGAUUCUGGCCUUCUUCACAGGACAUCCAUUUCCAGCAAUCCAUCUGGACUCUGCAGGAGUUUGUUUCUUUAGCUCGAGCACAAUUAGAUCUUGAUUCUUCCAUCAUAAAUUGAUGUGAUGUAUUCUUA